UAAUUGAGAGUUUGAUCCUGGCUCAGGAUGAACGCUGGCGGCGUGCCUAACACAUGCAAGUCGAGCGAGAAAUAAAGAAAUGAAGCUUCGGUAGAUUUUCUUUAUGGAAAGCGGCGGACGGGUGAGUAACGCGUAGGCAACCUGCCCUGUACAGGGGGAUAGCCACCCGAAAAGGUGAUUAAUACCCCAUAACGCAAGAGAUACACAUGUAUCACUUGUCAAAGAUUUAUCGGUAUAGGAUGGGCCUGCGUCUGAUUAGCUAGUUGGUAGGGUAACGGCUUACCAAGGCAACGAUCAGUAGCCGACCUGAGAGGGUGAUCGGCCACAUUGGAACUGAGACACGGUCCAAACUCCUACGGGAGGCAGCAGUGGGGAAUAUUGCACAAUGGGCGCAAGCCUGAUGC
rnacentral:rRNA from 1 species